rnacentral:rRNA from 1 species
GUAAGCGUGCGCAGGCGGUAUGUAAGACAGAUGUGAAAUCCCCGGGCUCAACCUGGGAACUGCAUUAGUGACUGCAUAGCUGGAGUACGGCAGAGGGGGAUGGAAUUCCGCGUGUAGCAGUGAAAUGCGUAGAUAUGCGGAGGAACACCGAUGGCGAAGGCAAUCCCCUGGGCCUGUACUGACGCUCAUGCACGAAAGCGUGGGGAGCAAACAGGAUUAGAUACCCCAGU